UUAAAAAGCUCGUAGUUGGAUUUCUGCGAGGGUGCCAAUGUCCGCCGACGCGCGUGCGCAGCGGCGCCCUCGCAUCCUUCUGUUACCACCUCUCGGCAUUCACUUGCCGGUGGUCGGCUCAGAGAAUUUACCUUGAGAAAAUUAGAGUGUUUCAGGCAGGCUAGGCCGGAAUACAUUAGCAUGGAAUAAUGGAAUAGGACUACGGUCUCGUUGUUGGUUACGCGGACAACAGUAAUGAUUAAUAGGGACAGUUGGGGGCAUUAGUAUUUAUUAGCUAGAGGUGGAAUUCUCUAAUUCGAUAAAGACUAACUUAUGCGAAAGCAUUUGCCAAGGAUGUUUUCAUUAAUCAAGAACGAAAGUUAGGGGAUCAAAGACGAUCAGAUACCGUCCUAGUCUUAACCAUAAACUAUGCCGACUCGGGAUCGGGAGCGUGUGUUAUCCGCUUUCGGCAC
rnacentral:rRNA from 1 species